GACGAACGCUGGCGGCGUGCCUAAUACAUGCAAGUCGAACGAGAGCGACCGGUGCUUGCACUGGUCAAUCUAGUGGCGAACGGGUGAGUAACACGUGGGUAACCUGCCCAUCAGAGGGGGAUAACAUCCGGAAACGGAUGCUAAAACCGCAUAGGUCUUCGAACCGCAUGGUUUGAAGAGGAAAAGAGGCGCAAGCUUCUGCUGAUGGAUGGACCCGCGGUGCAUUAGCUAGUUGGUGAGGUAACGGCUCACCAAGGCCGUGAUGCAUAGCCGACCUGAGAGGGUGAUCGGCCACAUUGGGACUGAGACACGGCCCAAACUCCUACGGGAGGCAGCAGUAGGGAAUCUUCCGCAAUGGACGCAAGUCUGACGGAGCAACGCCGCGUGAGUGAAGAAGGUUUUCGGAUCGUAAAACUCUGUUGUUAGAGAAGAACAAGUGCUAGAGUAACUGUUAGCGCCUUGACGGUAUCUAACCAGAAAGCCACGGCUAACUACGUG
rnacentral:rRNA from 1 species